UACGUAGGGGGCGAGCGUUGUCCGGAUUUACUGGGCGUAAAGCGCGUGUAGGCGGGAGAUUAAGUUGGGUGUGAAAGCCCGGGGCUCAACCCCGGGAUGCCGCCCAAGACUGGUCUCCUUGAGGACGGAAGAGGGGAGUGGAAUUCCUGGUGUAGCGGUGAAAUGCGCAGAUAUCAGGAGGAACACCGGUGGCGAAGGCGGGUCUCUGGGCCGUAACUGACGCUGAGGAGCGAAAGCGUGGGGAGCGAACAGG
rnacentral:rRNA from 1 species